GGUUAAGCGACUAAGCGUACACGGUGGAUGCCCUGGCAGUCAGAGGCGAUGAAGGACGUGCUAAUCUGCGAUAAGCGUCGGUAAGGUGAUAUGAACCGUUAUAACCGGCGAUUUCCGAAUGGGGAAACCCAGUGUGAUUCGACACACUAUCAUUAACUGAAUCCAUAGGUUAAUGAGGCGAACCGGGGGAACUGAAACAUCUAAGUACCCCGAGGAAAAGAAAUCAACCGAGAUUCCCCCAGUAGCGGCGAGCGAACGGGGAGCAGCCCAGAGCCUGAAUCAGUGUGUGUGUUAGUGGAAGCGUCUGGAAAGGCGCGCGAUACAGGGUGACAGCCCCGUACACAAAAAUGCACAUGCUGUGAGCUCGAUGAGUAGGGCGGGACACGUGGUAUCCUGUCUGAAUAUGGGGGGACCAUCCUCCAAGGCUAAAUACUCCUGACUGACCGAUAGUGAACCAGUACCGUGAGGGAAAGGCGAAAAGAACCCCGGCGAGGGGAGUGAAAAAGAACCUGAAACCGUGUACGUACAAGCAGUGGGAGCACGCUUAGGCGUGUGACUGCGUACCUUUUGUAUAAUGGGUCAGCGACUUAUAUUCUGUAGCAAGGUUAACCGAAUAGGGGAGCCGAAGGGAAACCGAGUCUUAACUGGGCGUUAAGUUGCAGGGUAUAGACCCGAAACCCGGUGAUCUAGCCAUGGGCAGGUUGAAGGUUGGGUAACACUAACUGGAGGACCGAACCGACUAAUGUUGAAAAAUUAGCGGAUGACUUGUGGCUGGGGGUGAAAGGCCAAUCAAACCGGGAGAUAGCUGGUUCUCCCCGAAAGCUAUUUAGGUAGCGCCUCGUGAAUUCAUCUCCGGGGGUAGAGCACUGUUUCGGCAAGGGGGUCAUCCCGACUUACCAACCCGAUGCAAACUGCGAAUACCGGAGAAUGUUAUCACGGGAGACACACGGCGGGUGCUAACGUCCGUCGUGAAGAGGGAAACAACCCAGACCGCCAGCUAAGGUCCCAAAGUCAUGGUUAAGUGGGAAACGAUGUGGGAAGGCCCAGACAGCCAGGAUGUUGGCUUAGAAGCAGCCAUCAUUUAAAGAAAGCGUAAUAGCUCACUGGUCGAGUCGGCCUGCGCGGAAGAUGUAACGGGGCUAAACCAUGCACCGAAGCUGCGGCAGCGACGCUUAUGCGUUGUUGGGUAGGGGAGCGUUCUGUAAGCCUGUGAAGGUGUACUGUGAGGUAUGCUGGAGGUAUCAGAAGUGCGAAUGCUGACAUAAGUAACGAUAAAGCGGGUGAAAAGCCCGCUCGCCGGAAGACCAAGGGUUCCUGUCCAACGUUAAUCGGGGCAGGGUGAGUCGACCCCUAAGGCGAGGCCGAAAGGCGUAGUCGAUGGGAAACAGGUUAAUAUUCCUGUACUUGGUGUUACUGCGAAGGGGGGACGGAGAAGGCUAUGUUGGCCGGGCGACGGUUGUCCCGGUUUAAGCGUGUAGGCUGGUUUUCCAGGCAAAUCCGGAAAAUCAAGGCUGAGGCGUGAUGACGAGGCACUACGGUGCUGAAGCAACAAAUGCCCUGCUUCCAGGAAAAGCCUCUAAGCAUCAGGUAACAUCAAAUCGUACCCCAAACCGACACAGGUGGUCAGGUAGAGAAUACCAAGGCGCUUGAGAGAACUCGGGUGAAGGAACUAGGCAAAAUGGUGCCGUAACUUCGGGAGAAGGCACGCUGAUAUGUAGGUGAAGCGACUUGCUCGUGGAGCUGAAAUCAGUCGAAGAUACCAGCUGGCUGCAACUGUUUAUUAAAAACACAGCACUGUGCAAACACGAAAGUGGACGUAUACGGUGUGACGCCUGCCCGGUGCCGGAAGGUUAAUUGAUGGGGUCAGCGCAAGCGAAGCUCUUGAUCGAAGCCCCGGUAAACGGCGGCCGUAACUAUAACGGUCCUAAGGUAGCGAAAUUCCUUGUCGGGUAAGUUCCGACCUGCACGAAUGGCGUAAUGAUGGCCAGGCUGUCUCCACCCGAGACUCAGUGAAAUUGAACUCGCUGUGAAGAUGCAGUGUACCCGCGGCAAGACGGAAAGACCCCGUGAACCUUUACUAUAGCUUGACACUGAACAUUGAGCCUUGAUGUGUAGGAUAGGUGGGAGGCUUUGAAGUGUGGACGCCAGUCUGCAUGGAGCCGACCUUGAAAUACCACCCUUUAAUGUUUGAUGUUCUAACGUGGACCCGUAAUCCGGGUUGCGGACAGUGUCUGGUGGGUAGUUUGACUGGGGCGGUCUCCUCCUAAAGAGUAACGGAGGAGCACGAAGGUUGGCUAAUCCUGGUCGGACAUCAGGAGGUUAGUGCAAUGGCAUAAGCCAGCUUGACUGCGAGCGUGACGGCGCGAGCAGGUGCGAAAGCAGGUCAUAGUGAUCCGGUGGUUCUGAAUGGAAGGGCCAUCGCUCAACGGAUAAAAGGUACUCCGGGGAUAACAGGCUGAUACCGCCCAAGAGUUCAUAUCGACGGCGGUGUUUGGCACCUCGAUGUCGGCUCAUCACAUCCUGGGGCUGAAGUAGGUCCCAAGGGUAUGGCUGUUCGCCAUUUAAAGUGGUACGCGAGCUGGGUUUAGAACGUCGUGAGACAGUUCGGUCCCUAUCUGCCGUGGGCGCUGGAGAAUUGAGGGGGGCUGCUCCUAGUACGAGAGGACCGGAGUGGACGCAUCACUGGUGUUCGGGUUGUCAUGCCAAUGGCACUGCCCGGUAGCUAAAUGCGGAAGAGAUAAGUGCUGAAAGCAUCUAAGCACGAAACUUGCCCCGAGAUGAGUUCUCCCUGACUCCUUGAGAGUCCUGAAGGAACGUUGAAGACGACGACGUUGAUAGGCCGGGUGUGUAAGCGCAGCGAUGCGUUGAGCUAACCGGUACUAAUGAACCGUGAGGCUUAACCUUACAACGCCGAAGAUGUUUUG
rnacentral:rRNA from 1 species